AUGGAUCAAGGCCAGAGCAGCUCUGCUGCAGACCAGGGUGUCACCGUCACCGAGUCCCUGGUGACAGAGAUGGCCCAGAGGCUAAGAACUCCGGCGCCGGAGGUGGACGCUUCCGUCGUCUGCCUCAUCUCCUGGGCCGGCAGCGACGGCUUCGACCGCCGGGACUACGAACCGGCCAACGUGCGCAUCGGCCCGUUCCACCGGGAUCCUUCUCACCCGACGGAGAACGAGAAGAAGGACGCGCUCCACCACUUGCUCCCGCACGACGACGAGCAAGGGCGUGCAGACGAUCUCAACCAUUACCUGGACGAGAUGGCUCGCGUCGUGCCCCGUGCGAGGGGGUGCUACAGCCGAUGGUUCAGCACGAUCGACACGGAGGAGUUCAAGUGCAUGCUGCUGGUGGACGGAUGCUUCCUGCACUCGCGCUUCGUCCCCAGCAGAGCAGCACCAGCGCCCGUCAACGACGACAUCUCGGUCGACCGCGACAUCGUCUUCCUCCUCGAGAACCAGCUGCCCUUCUUCGUCCUGGUGGAGGUCCAGAAGCUGAUCACGGCUGAUGCCGAGGAUAACUAUUCCGUUGUCGUCGACAACGUCCUAGGGCGCUUCCAAGCGCUGGUCCGGCUUAACGAGUACAGCGCCGUCACGGUGCCCCGCCCCACUACUCCUCCUUGCCACCUUCUUCACCUGCUCCACAUGUACUUCCGGCCUACAUCCCUGCCCCUGAACGACGCCCCGGCUAUUCCUCGGACGAGGAGUGCCGUUGCUGCUGCGCCUACACCUUCGUCGCAGCCGGCUCAGAUCCCGAUGCUUCCUCUCCGCAACAACCAGGGCGCCGCUGCUAAUGGAAACGGCGCAGCCAAUGAGGUCAUCCCACCACCACCUGGAGCCCCCGUGCGCCAGACGCGUUGGCGCGCGGCGACGUACUACCACACAGCCGGCGUGAGGUUCAUGGAGCGGAAGGUCGGCAGCGGGGACGGGGAGGCGCGAUCCAUCCUGGACGUGGAGCGGAGAGGAGACUGGCUCCACAUCCCUAUUCUGGCGGUCGACAACAACACGUUCCGGAUGCUGCGCAACAUGGUGGCGCUGGAGCAGAACAGCCCGCAGCUUCGCAGCUCCCACGUCACGGCCUACUGCCUCUUCAUGUCGCAGCUGGCCAGCACCAAGGAAGACGUGGAGCUCCUCGUCGCCAAGGGGGUCAUCGUGCACCUGCUCCACAGCGCCGACGAUGUCGCGGCGAACCUGGCCGGGCUCUGCGACGGCGUUGUCCUCGACGCGUACAACCCGGACUUGUGCUACCUCAGGGCGGAGCAUGCGGCGCUCGAGGAGGUCUGCCGGGACGGCUGGAAGAAGUCCAAGGCGUGGCUGCGGCACACCAAGUGCAACAACUAUUUGAUGGGGCUGGCCGUCCUCGCGGGUGCCGGCCUCUUCUUUUGCACGGUGGAGCAAUCGGUCUUUGCUGCGCUAAGCUAUUUUCAAGGGAAAAAAUAA
rnacentral:rRNA from 1 species